UACGUAGGGUGCAAGCGUUAUCCGGAAUUAUUGGGCGUAAAGAGCUCGUAGGCGGUUUGUCGCGUCUGCUGUGAAAACUGGGGGCUCAACCCCCAGCCUGCAGUGGGUACGGGCAGACUAGAGUGCGGUAGGGGAGAUUGGAAUUCCUGGUGUAGCGGUGGAAUGCGCAGAUAUCAGGAGGAACACCGAUGGCGAAGGCAGAUCUCUGGGCCGUAACUGAGGCUGAGGAGCGAAAGCAUGGGGAGCGAACAGG
rnacentral:rRNA from 1 species